CCGGUGGCGAAGGCGGCCCCCUGGACGAAGACUGACGCUCAGGUGCGAAAGCGUGGGGAGCAAACAGGAUUAGAUACCCUGGUAGUCCACGCCGUAAACGAUGUCGACUUGGAGGUUGUGCCCUUGAGGCGUGGCUUCCGGAGCUAACGCGUUAAGUCGACCGCCUGGGGAGUACGACCGCAAGGUUAAAACUCAAAUGAAUUGACGGGGGCCCGCACAAGCGGUGGAGCAUGUGGUUUAAUUCGAUGCAACGCGAAGAACCUUACCUGGUCUUGACAUCCACGGAAGUUUUCAGAGAUGAGAAUGUGCCUUCGGGAACCGUGAGACAGGUGCUGCAUGGCUGUCGUCAGCUC
rnacentral:rRNA from 1 species